GCUGGGCGCGGUGGCUCAUGCCUGUAAUCCCAGCAUUUUGGGAGGCUGAGGCGGGUGGAUCACCUGAGGUCAGGAGUUCGAGACCAGCCUGGCCAAUAUGGUGAAAACCCGUCUCUA
ensembl:misc_RNA Metazoa_SRP Metazoan signal recognition particle RNA